rnacentral:misc_RNA from 1 species
CAACCCUCAAGCCUGGCUUGGUGUUGGGGACCUGCGCACUGCAGUCCCUUAAAUCCAGUGGCGGACACGCUAGGUCUCCGAGCGCAGUAGUUUCUUCUCGCUUUGGGCGUCCGGCGUGGGCUUGCCUCGCACCCAACUUCUCAA